ensembl:lncRNA
GACAAAGAAGCAGAGAAUGCAGAGAGAAAGAGACCAACUGCUCGCUAAGCUACAGUGACAGAGAGGAACAACAAAGUAACAGAUAGAAAUAGUUGCAUUGUGACAAGUUGCAGGGAGGAGAGAAAAACACUUUAUAGAAAGGGAGGAAGGCAAGUUUCCCUGGAGGCGGCAGCUGGAAAGAUUUCCACUGGGAGGAAGAUGCACACGGGAGGCUGUGGGUGAGGAGGGUAGCUGGGGGGCUGUGCGGGGGACUCAGAGCAGCAGGGUUCUGAGUGCUGGGAGUCACCCCAGAGACACAGCACCGCUGCCUCUGCCGGCCCUGAUGUACUGCCAACCUCUAGCAGCCCCCAGAAAAGCAGUUUCCAACAGGUCCUGCCAUCCAUGGCUGAAACCCAAGGGGAGUGUGGAGUUGAGAUGUGGGAGAGGGGAAGAGGGUGCCAGAAACACCCUCCCUUACAACCAAGGAGCCAGAGCUCUGAUUUCUAACACCACCUCCAGGAAGCCUUCCCAGCCCACUGUUUAGGCAGCAGAGCUCCCCAUGAUCCAUCCAGAGCCAGGAUGAAGAGGCAGGAGUGCCAAGCAGUGACCAGCGCUCAGGGAGAGAAACCACAGAUUCGUCCAACGACCUUGAGCGAGAAGGAGCUUCCUUUCUUCAGGCCGCAGUUCUCCCAUUGAUGGAGAGAGGAACCACCCAGGCUGCCUAAGUAUAGAGUGUCGCCAAACAGAUGUAGUCUUGUUCCUCGAAAGAAAAGCUGCCGCCGGGAGGAGGGGGCAGGCCCAUCUCAUGGACGCAGUGGCCCGGCUCAGAUUUUCACAGAUGCUGCAUCCCUCUUGAAGCCUUCUUAGGGAAGCCAGUUCUGUCCCUCCUGAUCCUGGCACCCGCUCGGCCUCCUUGUGCCACUUGAUCUGCCCUCCUUCUCCAAGAAGUCUCGGGGGCACCCUGUCCAGCUCUGAGUCUCGUCCUAGAUGACCAGGAGGGUCUGCGGGGCCUGGCCAAAUGCUGGAUUGAGAAGCUGGGGCUGUUUGUCCACUUCCUUGAAGGUGGGCUGGCCUGGUGACUGGUGGACCAGGAGGAUGAGGGGGAAGUGAUGAUGUGGAACUUCUGGACGCCAAGGAGCCUUGCGACUUCCACCUGGGCCCUCAGGCCACUCAUUCUUGGGACACUCCCUCUUGAAACCCAGCCAUCAGGCUCUGAGAAGCCCAAGCCAUGUGAAGAAGCCAUAGAUGAGGCAACUGAGGCUCAGAGAGGUGAAGUCACUUGCCCCAAAGGACACAGCCGGUGAGUGAGGGGUUGCACGUGAAUCCAGAUGGCCCGGCCGCAAAGCCUUUCUCUCAACUCCUCCACCAGCCUCCAGUGGUCACAUCCUCAUUCUGAAUCUUUUCUGUUGUGUCCUCUCCACUUGGUGACUUUAGAGUUGACCAACUGAAUUCAGGAACUCCUAGAGGGCAGGGCACCCCAAAGCCUGAGCCAGCAUGUGGGAAGAGGCAUUUGGUUGAGAAGUUCUGAAGACAAAGAUGAUGAUGGGGAUCAGGUCAAGUUGUAGGCCUGGCACCCACUCAGGAAGUCCCACAAAGCAGGCAGCCUGGCCCUUAGUUACCCCAGAGCAUACUUUUCACUUUUCAUCUUUUCCACAGUGGAGCUCCUCAGAUUUUCACUGUGGAGUUUCCAACUGAGGAGUCAGCUCAGAAAAGGCAGAGCUCCUCAUGCCUGUUUGUUGUUUCAAGACUCACAAAGGAGGGGGAGGCCCUGGUCUGUAGCAAUUCCUAGGGGUAUGGAUAGAGGGUAGAGGACACUUCCUCUGCUGGAGCAAUAAUCUUAUCUUUUUUGCCUCUUUCCUUCCUCCUGAAGCAACAUCUAAAACUAAAAUAAAAGCCUCCAUAAUAAAAAAGUCUGCAACCCAUGCAUGCAAGAUGAUUUUAGGUGUUACUCAAGAUGUUUAAUCAUGAUACAUGGGCAAGACAUUAAAUAACAUUAUAUGACAUGAUUCUCUUUAAAAAUUCCUCCUAUCCUUGAAAAAGUGCUCAAAUUUGCUAGUCAUCGGGGAACUGCAAAAUAAAACCACAGUGAGAGACAACUAUAUGUCCACCAGAAAAGAUGGAAAAUGCCAAGUAUUGGCAAGGAUGGAGAGCUAGUGGCACUCUCAGAUAUUGCUGAUAGGAUUGCAGACCCAUACAUUUACAUGGCAAGACUUUCUGGCUCUCUCUAUUAAAGCUGACCACAUGUACAGCCCCUGGCCCAGAAAUCCCAGGUCUAGGUAUAGACCCAACAGAGAUGUGUGCUCAUGAUCCACAAACAAUGUGUUCUAGGAGGUUCUCAGCAGCUGUGUUCACAGAAGUCAAAAACUGGAAACUCUUGGGACCGGCCCCGUGGCCGAGUGGUUAAGUUUGCGCGCUCUGUUGCGGUAGCCCAGGGUUUUGCCGGUUCGGAUCCUGGGCAUGGACAUGGCACUGCUUAUCAAGCCAUGCUGAGUUGGCAUCCCACAUGCCACACUAGAAGGACCCACAACUAAGAAUAUACAACUAUGUACCGGGGGGCUUUGGGGAGAAAAAGGAAAAAAGUAAAAUCUUUAAAAAAAACAGAACAAAACUGGAAACUCUCCAGAUGCCCAUCAACAGCAGGAUGGACAGAUAACUUGUGGUGCAGUCAAACUACGGAACAUGACCCAACAAGGAGAAAGAACCAGUAAACUAUAUGCAAGAAUAUGGAAGAAUUUCACAGACAGAAUGUUGAGCAAAAGAAGCCAGAGACAAAAAGGCUGCAUGUUGUAUGUUUUCAUUUAGGGGAAAUGCAAAAACAGGCAAAAGUCAUCCCUGGUAGUAGAUGUCAGGAUCAUGGCUACCCUUGGGGGGCGGAGGUGGUGAUGACUGGCAGGGAGCCUGAAGGGGGCUUCUGACCUUAGUGUUCUUCUUCUUCACCCAGGGACUGGUUAUAUCGGGUAGUCGAUUUGUGAACGUUUAUCAUAUGUGAUAUGUGUUUUAUCACUUAUGAUAUCAUAAAUGGUAAUGAUAAAAUAUAUCAUAAUUUUAUCAUUUAUGACAUG